rnacentral:rRNA from 1 species
UACGUAGGUGGCAAGCGUUGUUCGGAAUUACUGGGCGUAAAGCGCGUGUAGGCGGCUCUUCAAGUCAGACGUGAAAGCCCCGGGCUUAACUCGGGAACCGCGUUUGAUACUGUCGAGCUAGAGUGUGGAAGGGGCGAUUGGAAUUCCGUGUGUAGCGGUGAAAUGCGUAGAUAUACGGAGGAACACCAGAGGCGAAGGCGGAUCGCUGGGCCAACACUGACGCUGAGACGCGAAAGCUAGGGGAGCAAACGGG